rnacentral:rRNA from 1 species
GUAGGGAAUAUUGGGCAAUGGAAGGAAUUCUGACCCAGCCAUGCCGCGUGCAGGAAUACAGUCCUAUGGACUUUAAACUGCUUUUAUUAUAGAGUAACCUGGGGGACGUGUCCCCCACUGCAAGUAUAUAAUGAAUAAGCAUCGGCUAACUCCGUGCCAGCAGCCGCGGUAAUACGGGGGAUGCAAGCGUUAUCCGGAUUUAUUGGGUUUAAAGGGUGCGCAGGCUGAUCGGUAAGUCAUGGGUGAAAAGUCACUGCUUAACAGUGAUCGUGCCUAUGAUACUGCCGGACUAGAGUUUAAGAGGUGUAACUGGAAUGUGAUGUGUAGCGGUGAAAUGCUUAGAUAUGUCACAGAACGCCAAUCGUGAAGACAGGUUACAAACUUAAUACUGACGCUCAUGCACGAAAGCGUGGGGAUCAAACAGGAUUAGAUACCCGAGUAGUCC